rnacentral:rRNA from 1 species
GGAUAAGAUGGGCGAAAGCCUGACGCAGCAACGCCGCGUGCGGGAAGAAGGCUCUCGGGUUGUAAACCGCUUUCAGAAGGAACGAAAAUGACGGUACUUUCAGAAGAAGGUGCGGCCAACUACGUGCCAGCAGCCGCGGUAAUACGGAGGGUGCAAGCGUUGUUCGGAAUUAUUGGGCGUAAAGGGCGUGUAGGUGGCAGUCCAAGUCUGGUGCGAAAGCCCACGGCUCAACCGUGGAACUGCAUUGGAA